rnacentral:rRNA from 1 species
GAUGAACGCUGGCGGCGUGCUUAACACAUGCAAGUCGAGCGAAGCACUUUGGAAAGAUUCUUCGGAUGAUUUCCUUUGUGACUGAGCGGCGGACGGGUGAGUAACGCGUGGGUAACCUGCCUCAUACAGGGGGAUAACAGUUAGAAAUGACUGCUAAUACCGCAUACGACCACGGUACCGCAUGGUACAGUGGUAAAAACUCCGGUGGUAUGAGAUGGACCCGCGUCUGAUUAGGUAGUUGGUGGGGUAACGGCCUACCAAGCCGACGAUCAGUAGCCGACCUGAGAGGGUGACCGGCCACAUUGGGACUGAGACACGGCCCAGACUCCUACGGGAGGCAGCAGUGGGGAAUAUUGCACAAUGGAGGAAACUCUGAUGCAGCGACGCCGCGUGAAGGAUGAAGUAUUUCGGUAUGUAAACUUCUAUCAGCAGGGAAGAAAAUGACGGUACCUGACUAAGAAGCCCCGGCUAACUACGUG